AGAGUUUGAUCAUGGCUCAGGACGAACGCUGGCGGCGUGCCUAAUACAUGCAAGUCGAGCGGACUUAUAAAAGCUUUUUAUAAUUAGCGGCGGACGGGUGAGUAACACGUGGGUAACCUGCCUGUAAGAUUGGGAUAACUCCGGGAAACCGGGGCUAAUACCGAAUAAUACAUAGAAUCGCAUGAUUCUAUGUUGAAAGAUGGCAUCUAGCUAUCACUUACAGAUGGACCCGCGGCGCAUUAGCUAGUUGGUGAGGUAAUGGCUCACCAAGGCAACGAUGCGUAGCCGACCUGAGAGGGUGAUCGGCCACACUGGGACUGAGACACGGCCCAGACUCCUACGGGAGGCAGCAGUAGGGAAUCUUCGGCAAUGGACGAAAGUCUGACCGAGCAACGCCGCGUGAGUGAAGAAGGUUUUCGGAUCGUAAAACUCUGUUGUUAAGGAAGAACAAGUACGAGAGUAACUGCUCGUACCUUGACGGUACUUAACCAGAAAGCCACGGCUAACUACGUGCCAGCAGCCGCGGUAAUACGUAGGUGGCAAGCGUUGUCCGGAAUUAUUGGGCGUAAAGCGCGCGCAGGCGGUCUUUUAAGUCUGAUGUGAAAGCCCCCGGCUCAACCGGGGAGGGUCAUUGGAAACUGGGAGACUUGAGUGCAGAAGAGAAGAGCGGAAUUCCACGUGUAGCGGUGAAAUGCGUAGAGAUGUGGAGGAACACCAGUGGCGAAGGCGGCUCUUUGGUCUGUAACUGCGCUGAGGCGCGAAAGCGUGGGGAGCAAACAGGAUUAGAUACCCUAGUAGUCC
rnacentral:rRNA from 1 species